rnacentral:rRNA from 1 species
AUUGAACGCUGGCGGCAUGCCUUACACAUGCAAGUCGAACGGCAGCACGGGUGCUUGCACCUGGUGGCGAGUGGCGAACGGGUGAGUAAUACAUCGGAACAUGUCCUGUAUUGGGGGAUAGCCCGGCGAAAGCCGGAUUAAUACCGCAUACGAUCUACGGAUGAAAGCGGGGGACCUUCGGGCCUCGCGCUAUAGGGUUGGCCGAUAGCUGAUUAGCUAGUUGGUGGGGUAAAGGCCUACCAAGGCGACGAUCAGUAGCUGGUCUGAGAGGACGACCAGCCACACUGGGACUGAGACACGGCCCAGACUCCUACGGGAGGCAGCAGUGGGGAAUUUUGGACAAUGGGCGAAAGCCUGAUCCAGCAAUGCCGCGUGUGUGAAGAAGGCCUUCGGGUUGUAAAGCACUUUUGUCCGGAAAGAAAUCCUUGGCUCUAAUACAGUCGGGGGAUGACGGUACCGGAAGAAUAAGCACCGGCUAACUACGUG